CCCUACGGGGUGCAGCAGGCGCGAAAACUUUACAAUGCGGGAAACCGUGAUAAGGGAACUCCGAGUGUCCGUAAAUGCGGACUGUCCGUAUGUUUAAAAAGCAUGCGAAGAAAGGGCCGGGCAAGACCGGUGCCAGCCGCCGCGGUAAUACCGGCGGCUCGAGUGGUGGCCACUAUUACUGGGCUUAAAGCGUUCGUAGCUGGGUUGUUAAGUUUCUUGGGAAAUCUACCGGCUUAACCGAUAGGCGUCCAAGGGAUACUGGCAAUCUAGGGACCGAGAGAGGUGAGGGGUACUUCAGGGGUAGGAGUGAAAUCCUGUAAUCC
rnacentral:rRNA from 1 species